UACGGGGGGGGCAAGCGUUGUUCGGAAUUACUGGGCGUAAAGGGCUCGUAGGCGGCCAACUAAGUCGGAUGUGAAAUCCCCAGGCUCAACUUGGGAACUGCAUCCGAUACUGGAUGGCUUGAAUCCGGGAGAGGGAUGCAGAAUUCCAGGUGUAGCGGUGAAAUGCGUAGAUAUCAUCAGGAAUACCGGAGGCGAAGGCGGCUCACUGGGGGUUUUCUGACGCUGAGGAACGAAAGCCAGGGUAGCGAACGGG
rnacentral:rRNA from 1 species